rnacentral:piRNA from 1 species
UGGGAGAACUAAAAAAGAAAGGUGCUGGGCC